AGUGAACGCUGGCGGUAGGCCUAACACAUGCAAGUCGAACGGCAGCACAGUAAGAGCUUGCUCUUACGGGUGGCGAGUGGCGGACGGGUGAGGAAUACAUCGGAAUCUACUUUUUCGUGGGGGAUAACGUAGGGAAACUUACGCUAAUACCGCAUACGACCUACGGGUGAAAGCAGGGGAUCUUCGGACCUUGCGCGAUUGAAUGAGCCGAUGUCGGAUUAGCUAGUUGGCGGGGUAAGGGCCCACCAAGGCGACGAUCCGUAGCUGGUCUGAGAGGAUGAUCAGCCACACUGGAACUGGGACACGGUCCAGACUCCUACGGGAGGCAGCAGUGGGGAAUAUUGGACAAUGGGCGCAAGCCUGAUCCAGCCAUACCGCGUGGGUGACGAAGGCCUUCGGGUUGUAAAGCCCUUUUGUUGGGAAAGAAAAGCAGCAGGUUAAUACCCCGCUGUUCUGACGGUACCCAAAGAAUAAGCACCGGCCAACUUCGUG
rnacentral:rRNA from 1 species